AUGAAGAAGGCGACCACGGAGAUACAAGUCAGUGCCAACCAGGUCGAGACUGAAAAACAAGACGGAAAAGACCACCAGCAAGACACGACGGUUGACAAGGAAAAACAUGAUGCUAAAAAAGACACAAACGACUCAAAUGAGGAUGCAGCAAAAACUGAACAAAAGGGCACAAUGGAGAAAGGGGACAAAGAUAGUGAUUCCGUGAACAAAGCCAUCGAAAACCUGUACAACGCUGUAUGCAAGCCAUGGACACAGAGAGAAAUGGAUGAGCUUUUCAUUACAACGAACAAGUUUGAUGUCAAUCUAGGCCAUGUCGCCGAAAGCUUCAAGGUCGGUAAAUCAGUACGCACCAAAGCAAUCGAGCCCAUGCUAACAAUCUUGAGAAAACAACUAAAUGGCACAGGGAGAAAGAUUCUGUCGUUAAGCAACACUUUCCUUCUACCAUGUUCGUUGCACGGGUUUGAGCAAGACGAAAAUACAAGUCAUUACUUCACCAUUACAGUUAACAUGCAAAAACAGCGCUUUGAACUCCUUGACUCUUCAACUGUAUAUCCAGGCACAAUAGAAUUCUUUAACAAUGUAACCAGCAAAUUAAUGAAAAUAUGGAAGCACGUAAGCACAGAGCUACAGCUUUCACAAAAAAGCAUCGACCAUUUCAAAAGGGUCAAACUGCAGGUGCCACUUCAAGGAGAAGACACAAUGGACUGCGCAUUCUAUAUGUACAUGAACCUGAAGCACUACUCCAAUGAUGGAACAGCAGCAACCUUAGAGCCAGAACAAGUACCGGAGUUGAGGAAAAAAAUUCUAUAUCAACUAAUCAGUCAACACAGAGGGAAUACCAAACUGUCAUUAAUCAAGUGUACAACAGAUAUGCUGAAGUAUGAAGUCGAUAUGGGAGACAAAGAAAUGCAACAGACAGAAUAUUGCGUACUAGAAGAGUUUCCGCCAAAUCCCGAGCCAAAAGAACAUAUUAUGCAUGCGACAACCACAAAAGAGCAUGAAGUUAUUGAUAUCCAGUAA
rnacentral:rRNA from 1 species